GCCAGACGCACACCUGUAAUCCCAGCUAUGGGGCAGGCUGAGGUUUGCGGAAGUCUUGAGCUCCAGAAUCCUGAGCUGUAGUGGGCUAUGCAGAUGGGGUGUCCACACUAAGUUAAGCAUCAGGACAGUAAGCCUCCAGAAGAGAAGGGCCACCAGGUCGCCUAAGGAGGAGAAAACUGGCCGAGGUUAUAAACAGAGCAAUCAAAACUCCCAUACUGAUCAGGAGUGGCAUUAGGCCCAUUGGGAGCCUCUAUGCUUCCAGUCUGGAUGAGAUGGGGAGACUAAGUCUUC
rnacentral:SRP_RNA from 1 species